CUCUUCGGGGAUGAUUAAACCGGCGCACGGGUGUGUAACACGUGAGUGACCUGCCUUUUAGACUGGAACAACUUACCGAAAGGUGAGCUAAUGCCGGAUGAGUUAUAUAAGUGCAUGUUUAUAUAGGAAAAGUUGGGGAGACCUGACGCUGAAAGAUGGACUCGCGUCCCAUUAGCUAGUUGGUAGGGUAAUGGCCUACCAAGGCGACGAUGGGUAGCCGGCCUGAGAGGGUGGCCGGCCACACUGGGACUGAGACACGGCCCAGACUCCUACGGGAGGCAGCAGUGGGGAAUUUUGCGCAAUGCUCGUAAGAGUGACGCAGCGACGCCGCGUGAAUGACGAAGGCCUUCGGGUCGUAAAGUUCUUUCGACAGGGAAGAAAAUGCCUAUAAGUAACUGUGUAUGUAUUGACGGUACCUGUAUAAGCAGCCCCGGCUAACUCCGUGCCAGCAGCCGCGGUAAUACGGAGGGGGCGAGCGUUGUUCGGAGUGACUGGGCGUAAAGAGCACGUAGGCGGUGUUGUAAGUCAUUAGUCAAAGACUAGAGCUCAACUUUAGUAAGGCUAGUGAUACUAUAAUACUAGAGUAUCAGAGAGGAUUGCAGAAUUCCUGGUGUAGCGGUGAAAUGCGUAGAUAUCAGGAGGAAUACCGUUAGCGAAGGCGGCAAUCUGGCUGGAAACUGACGCUGAGGUGCGAAAGCGUGGGUAGCAAACAGGAUUAGAUACCCUGGUAGUCCACGCUGUAAACGAUGGAUGCUA
rnacentral:rRNA from 1 species